rnacentral:rRNA from 1 species
GACGAACGCUGGCGGCGUGCCUAAUACAUGCAAGUAGAACGCUGAAGGAGGAGCUUGCUUCUCUGGAUGAGUUGCGAACGGGUGAGUAACGCGUAGGUAACCUGCCUGGUAGCGGGGGAUAACUAUUGGAAACGAUAGCUAAUACCGCAUAAUAGUAGAUGUUGCAUGACAUUUGCUUAAAAGGUGCAAUUGCAUCACUACCAGAUGGACCUGCGUUGUAUUAGCUAGUUGGUGGGGUAACGGCUCACCAAGGCGACGAUACAUAGCCGACCUGAGAGGGUGAUCGGCCACACUGGGACUGAGACACGGCCCAGACUCCUACGGGAGGCAGCAGUAGGGAAUCUUCGGCAAUGGACGGAAGUCUGAACGAGCAACGCCGCGUGAGUGAAGAAGGGUUUCGGAUCGUAAAGCUCUGUUGUAAGAGAAGAACGAGUGUGAGAGUGGAAAGUUCACACUGUGACGGUAUCUGACCAGAAAGGGACGGCUAACUACGUG